rnacentral:tRNA from 1 species
UCGUCCACCGGGUCGGGGUCCUCGGACUCGGGCUCCGGGUCGGGUUCCUCCGACACGGGUUCGGGCUCGUCGAGCGGC